AAAAAUGACUAUGUGUUGAAUAUACUGAGUGAACUAAAAUAUACUAUUAAAACUGCCGGGCAUGAUGACACACAACUUUUAUCCCAGUACUCAGGAGGAUUGCCUUGAGAGCAGUCUGGGGUACAUAGUGAGUUUGAGGCUAUACUGGGCUACACAGUUCUCAUCUCAAAACAAAUCAACUUUAGUUGUGGCGAUUUUCAAUGGGAUUAUCGAGCAUUGCACAUGACUUCCCUGGUAUCCGUUGUGUUCUAUUAAAAGUGCUGGUCGACCACACCACGGCACACAAGCUCAGGCAGUUACUGAGCUGUGCUGGGUCACGCUGGGGCUGCCUUUUCUUUUGGACCUCUGUUGGUGAUUUAGGUGAAAAGUCUGCUCCUCAUUCGGACCCUCUGGGCUUAUCUUUCUCUGGCCCUAUCUUUCUCUGGCCCUUUUAUCUCUUCCCUCUGAGCUUGGGUCACCCCAGUAUCACUGCUUUUACCUAGUCCAUGUAUCAAGGGCGUUGAGGCGAAGCUUAGUGGAUGGACACAUUUGUAAAGCUGUGGGCUUUUGAACCAGAUGAAGAAAUUCGUUUAAAAUAUCCAAACCCCAAGCUUGUGGAGAGUGUUCCCCACUAAAAGCCUUUGCAGUCAGGUACCCUUUCCCAGCAGGCUUUGGGAGACAGGCACAGCUUGUCCGGGACAGCCCUCCUCUCCUCUCCACACUUACAUAAAGGCUCCUGUGAAAUGGAGAGCCUCAUUUUAAGCGCAUCGAAGGUCGUGAAUUUAAAACGGAGACCUUGAAAUCUAGAAGCGCUUGCUUUCAUAACGGUCUUGCGUUGCCUCUCUGGGCUAUGAUGGGAAGGGCGGUGCUGUGGGCUGGCAGACUGGGUGAGGUGGCAGUGCCAGGCUGGGGAGGGAGACUCAGAGCCACGGAGCUGCCCACUCUUCCACCUUUUCCUGGAGGAGGCAGCUGCCAGCAGUCCUUCAGCUCAGGGCCAGGCCACCCCAUUUUCAUGGCAUAGUCUCUCGGAGGUUCAGAGUCAGGAAACUAGUUUUCUUACUGACCCUUAGCUUGUUUGGGGGGCUCUAUCCUGCUGUGCUGGUUCCAAACUCCUUCUCAUACCCUCUCACAUCUUGGGAGGCAGAUAGAGCAGGUGCAGGCAGAAGCGCAUGCUCAGUGAAAGAGAGUCUCUAGGUAAAUGUGAAGCCUUGGAGGGAAUUACUUUUAAACAUGCCAUGAAAUGGGUAACUAACUUGGAACAUUAUUUAGCUGUGAGCGGUCACAUCAGCGCCUCACUCGCUGUAGCCUAGAGGGUCGCAUGGGAAGAGGGCAGAGGGGAAAUCUGAACCUGAGGAUGCCUGGCUGCUCUUUUCAGCUUUACUAUGGACAAUCCUUGAGGGGACCAGGGGUCACAGGUCAUGUACCUACUCAGGUUUUUGCCUGGCUGCCAUUCAUUCAUUCACUCAUUCAUCCAUCCAUCUAUUUAUUUUUAUGGCAGUGCUGGAGAUUGAACCAAGAAUAUUUAUUUCAUGUGCUUAGGCAAGUGUUCUACUUUUGAGUUACAUUCUCAGAUUUCUCUCUCUCUCUCUCUCUCUCUCUCUCUCUCUCUCUCUCUCGCUCUCGCUCUCUCGCUCUCUCGCUCUUUCGCUCUCUCUUUCUCACUCACUCUCAGGCAGUAGCCCAGGCUGACUUGGAACUCACUAUGUAGCUGAGGCUGUCCUUGAACUUACCCUUCGGCUUCCACCUCCCCUGUUCUGGGAUGGAGCUGUGCCAACUUUUCACUCACUGAUUGUCAUUCCAGGCUGCUGUAGUGUGGCCCUUGAACCCCAAUGGUCUAUAGAUGGCAGAUGGCAACUCCUGACAUUUACCUUCUUUAUAACAUCACAUUCUUUGUGUUUUCGGAAAUGUAAACAGGAUGAGGAACGUUGUGCCUCUUGUAACAAUGCACUCAGGGGUGUGUACAAGGUCACUCAAGAAGCGACAGCCAUCGAAGUAUCUAGAUUCUGAGUUGCGACACUUAAGAGAAACUGCCACUUCCUUCUGAAUGGUAACAGUGAAGGAGCAGUGUCUCCUGUCUGCAGAAAUUUGGAAUUUGCAAGCAGCACCAGACACUCAUGCCCAGAAGAGAGGACUGGGUUCUUCCCAGGCUGUCCUUGAGGCUGGAGGAAGGGACAGGGCUGCUGGCGUGUGCUGGCUUGACGCCCUCUCUAACGAAUACCAUCUGGGCCAGCAGGCAUUUUGAUGUGGUGGCAGCAUCCUGCUGCUGCCCAUGCUCACAUCCCUGGUCACAGACACAGUUCUCUUUUCCAAAGGGACCCAUUGCUUAACCUCCAAGAUGACACACAGGUGUCUUCUGGGGGCAUCAUUAGCAUCUAUAUACCUGGGUGUGGGGGAAUCAUCACCCCCCUGUUUCUGGGUAUGAACACACCUCCAGGACCCCAGGACACAUCAGGAAGGUGGCCUGUUGUUGCUCCUGAUGGCCAGUGUGAAGAUGGCUUCACCCAGUCCUUGUGAGAUAGUCUCUCCUGAUAUCAAGCCCCAGACUAAUGAGAAGACUGAGCAAGAAAGCGGGCUUCCUACUUAGGCAUCUUCCAGAAGUGGGUGGGUAGCACGUGGCUGGCCUCUAGGUGCCAUCAAGUCUCAAACAGGUAUCAGGGCUGUGACUGACCCUAGAGUGGCCCAGAGAUGAGAGAAACAACAUGGCAUUUGAGCAAGGGCUGAGCUUAGAAUUAUGGAAGACCUUUCACUUGGUAGAUAGAAAAGUUGGAGACCCCAGGCAGUGGUUGACCUGGCUUUGACAAAGUCAGAAGCUAGAACAGGAUGCUUGAAGGCUGCCCCUGUGCCUUCUUUGGAAGAUGUGGGAGCAGGUAGAACCAGCAGGUCUUAGCACACAUUGUAUUCUGGGAGCCUAGAAAACACAUCUUUGCCUAUAGCUUGAGUUCGUUGGCCUGUGGCAGCACCCAGGCUUUGUUUUAUAAUCUUCAUGAGUGAAUCUGUAGUGAGUCAGGGUUGAGAAUCAGAGAGCUGUCUACUGGCUUGAAUGCUACCAAGUCACAUGUAGAAUCAGUGCAGCACACAGUUGUUACUGGCAGGAGUACAUGCUUCUCACUGUGAUCAGAUAUCUGACAGAAGCAUGUAAGGGAGGGAGGGUGCAUUUUGGUUCACAAUUUUAGUCCACCACGGCAGGGAAGGCAUAGUGGCAUUCACGGCCACGUGAUCACGCUGUGGGUAGAACCCUGCCACAUCUUAUUGAAGCAGGAAGCAGGUAUAAGAAUUAGAAAGAGGAUCAGGAUGGAAUCAUUAGGCCCCACCCCUAAGUCCUAUAUCAGCUAAGCCUCAUGUCCACAAGGCUCUAGAACCUCUGCAAAUAGCACAGCCACCUGGGAACCCACUCUUCAAACAAACAUGUAAGCCUCACAAAGAAAAGGGGGAAACAUGAGCAAAAGAGUCUAUGUGAAACUAUCAAAGGAUGUGUGUGUGUGUUUGGGAGGCUUGCCUCCUGGGAGGUGUGAGUGGGAAGCCUGCCUCCUGGGAAUGUGUGCUCUCCUCUCUGUGCGACAAUGGCGUCCACCACAGUCCAGUGAAAAGGGAAGGCCCACGGUCGCUUAGCAGGGUAUGUAGCUGAUCCAGGCUAGAAGGGAAGCCAGGGGUCCUUGUGUCCCAAAGGGACACAGAAGGAAAAAGAGACACAGGGAAAAGGGAAUCUUUGCUCCUGUGUGCUCCAAGGGCCAGGGGGCCUCAAAGCCAACUUGGAGCCCUCUGCUUGGGAGCGACAUCUCCCUGCCCUGAUGUCAGCUGUCCUGCCCUAGAGGAGUGCCUUGUGCGUGGCUGGCACAGUGCCCUCCUCGCUGUCAGAGUGACUCAGAUCCCCAUCCUGGCGCUUGCCUGCUCAGGCAGCACAAGCUGUUCCUUUGGCUUGUGUAUACGGAGCCGGAGCCGGAGCGGCACUUCUCUCUCCAGGAUGGAGGCCAGCGAAGAGAGGUGUUCCUGUGGUGUCGACCCUCUCCCCUCUCCCCUCUCCCCCUCCAGGCACAGGGGUGGGAGAGGAAGGAAGGAAAGCCGCAGUGCAGGCAUUGCUGAGCUUCUUUACUCUGCAUCAAACUGCCUAGCCUGGUCCAGCCUUGUUCAGGGCAUGCCCAGCAGGACACCAGGCAUUCAGGACUAGUGACCAGGUGAGGUGGCGCUUGAAUGGAAGACUUUCCUGAAAAGUUACCAACACAAAUUGGGCCAGGUGGACAAUUGCUGAGGGGACAUUGACAGUGACUGUCUGGGUGUAUGACACGGCCACAGGUCAUUCUGCAUGGAAAGGGUUUAGACAAAAUGUUCACAAGACACUCCUUAGCCUUUGCACAGCCUCAGUGGCCCUGGUUCCUUGCACUCUCCAGGGAGCAAUUUCUCUUACCCUCCCCCCUACCCUCUCUCCCUCUUCCCCUUCCUUUAUGUAUUUUGAGCUUUGAGAUGUUAAGUUAAAUGCAGAAGGUCACAUUCACAUACAAGUUGAAGGGCAGAGUUGAAAACCCAAACCAAGUCUUCUUUGGUGUAUUUCAUUUUCUUUUCGUGGGGUUAGGGGUGGAACCCGGAGCCUGUGUAUGACAGGCAGAUGCUCUCCCACUAAGCUAUACAAGCCUGGUCUUUGAGUACCAAAUCCUGUGCUUGCAAGAGUGGGGUUCUCUCUCAGCUAUUAGCACUCGUCUUAUAUAACUGUCCCUGCAAUGUCACGGGAUGACUUUGGGUGCUUCAGAGAUGACCCGCACUUUCAAAGGAGAAGCUUAUGGGUGACAGUGGGGGCGGCCCCAAGGCUGAAGGACUGGCCAUUCACUGAGUGCCAUUUCCGACUCAUUCUGCCCUCCAGAUGCUUAGCCUAGCAUAUUGUUUUAGAUUGAACCACAUAAAAUCACCAUUUUUGAUGGUCAGGAAUGGUCACUUAGUGGUCAUACUUUAGAGGUUAACUGAAUACAGCAAAGGUCCUAAAUAAUAUGAUAUGUGAUAGAGAGCAUCUAGGGACUCGGGGUUCUUUGUUUCAAAGCAACCAUGGCUGCCUUGGUCUGUGAGACUAUUGCCUCAAAGUGUUAAUUAGGUGUCAUGUAUAGAAGAACUGGCCUGGUUGGUUGCUUGUGAAGUUGCCCUUCCCCUUCUUGCAUCCUUGCCCUAAGGGUUUACAGACCCCUCUAGGAGGUGCCUGGGAUCAACACUUGUGCUUGCCUCGGAGUUAAAGUGCCCUAGCUGGAAGCAUCAGUUAUGUUCUCUACCUGCUCUGUGACCUUGGGUGAGUCACUCACUAAUCUCCCUACCACACAAAUGUCUCAUCAUGGGAACAAGAAUAUUAACGUACUCACCUCAUGGAGUUGUGGAGAUUAUGUAAGUUAAUGAAGGCAAAGUCUUUAGAAUAAGGCUGGUGUGUGGAGAGCGCUGUCACUUUUCCCUGCUGCUAUUAUAAAUAUUCCUAAUAGUCCCACAUCUCAGAUGAGAAGGGCAUGAGCGUGCUCUUGACACAGAGCAGAAGCUUCUGUUUCCUACAGCCUCAGGGUCACGGGGUAGCUAGAAACAUGGUGUGCUCCUUCUCCAAGUACAGCUGAGCACCUGAAGGAGGCAUCUGCCUUCAAACCCUUCACAACCGUGCCACGGGUUAGAAGCUUCCAGAGCAGCAGUUAUCAACCUGUGGCCCUUUCACAGGGGUCGCAUAUCAGAUAUCCUGCAUAUCAGAUAUUUACAUUAUGAUUCAUAACAGUAGCAAAAUUACAGUUAUGAAGUAGCAGUGAAAAUAACUUUACGGUUGCGGGUCACCACAACAUGGGGAACUGUCUUAAAGGGCCUCAGCGUUAGGAAGGUUGAGAACCCCUGCUCUAGAGAAACUAUGCUCAGAGAAGAGUUCUCUCUUCUGAGGGAACUCUCAUCCACAUCUGGGGUGAGAGGCAGAAAGAUUAGCCUUGUCUUCCCAGGUACUUGUUACCAGCUCACUGGAUUGAGUGAGGCUCUCCAAAAGAUUGUCCAAGAAAUAGAGACUCAUGACCAGUGUCUCUUUACCUCACCAGAUGAGACCCUUUGAGGCAGUGUGGGGGCUUAGUUCAUAGAAGGCCAUUUCUGAACUACUAGUUCAGGGUUCCCAGAACUGCCCCACUAACAUGAUUCACGGGGCCCAGUGACAGUUGUUGUAUGCCUAGUGAUGCUUUGUUACUGGAAACAGGCCGGGACAGAUCAACAGCAGGUGUCCCUGUAAGAGUCCUGAAUCUGGAACUUCCAGAUGUUUUCUCCUUGGACUCAGGACAGCAUGACUUUCCUGAUGUCAAUGUGUAAUGAUACACUCGGACUGCUGACGGACAGGGCAGCCGCCUUUGGUGUCCAGGCAUUUCAUUAACGCUCCAACCGGUUUAGCAUAGGCGACCUCCUGUGUGGCUCCUAUCAGUCUCGAGAUCUGCCUCCUCCCCCAGGCAAACUAACACAAUGUGACCCAAAGCUUCCCCUUGACAUCACAUUGUUGCUGAGGCUCAAAACCCACAUGGCCAAUCACAUUCCAGUUCCCCAAGCAAAGACGCACCUGUGAGUGUGAUAUUCCAAGGGCUUAUUGGUUUCCUCCUAGAAGUUACAGGUGAAGCUAGAAUUCUUUAGGUAAAGGUCCAAGUCUUUACUGAACAUAGAGGCUAUGGGGGCACAGCUAACGAGAGAGCUCACAGUCUAUGGGGAGAGACAAUCAGGUCUUCAGCACCUAUGCCUGUGGGAUUGUACAAUUGCCCAUGACCACCAGGAGGCGCUUCAGUGAGGGUCGGUGUGGCUUGUACACUCUGGAGGGAACAAGGAUGGUUGGUCUGAGUGUCAGAAUUCCUGCAGUCUCUAACCAUUUCUAGGAAGGAAGCUCUCAGCUGUUCCUGGCAUGCUUACCAGUUCCAUUGGCCCCGAGGACUUCUCCAGGCAGUACCCUCACUGACUUUGGGGAUUUAAGGACGGGUGAGUAGGGAGAACAACUGAGGAUCCUGGAAAAAAAUUGAGAUGUUCAUUAUCUCAAGAGUGAUGGAUAGGACAGUGCAGCUGAGCAAGAGUGGCUGAGUAGGUCCAACAGUUUGUGGACAUGGUUACAUAAACUACCGGAGACCUUAAGCCACCUUUUGCUUCUGGUCUUCCCUUGGAAACUACUUCCUCUAAUGACGACGGCGUCUGCAGCACAGUAUCCCUGAGAUCAGUGGGAGCAGGCAUUCUUCUUUUGCUCUGAGGUUUUUGGCCACUGCCCUGGUUGCAUCUGCAGUGAGGGGGAGGGGUGUCCUUGGAUGUCUUUUGUGCCCAGCCAUCUGGCUCCUGGUCUCCACCUCACCUAUUGCAAUCUCAAACUCCCUCUAUUCUUGACCUCUCCCCAAAACCUGGAUGGAAACCCCGAUGAAUGAUCCUUUGACCUCUGUCCACGCAGGCAUUUCAUAUUCUGUGACUGGCUCUUAUCUUCACUCUCUGGACUCUUGGGGAUGAGAAAAACUAAUUCAGAACAGUGGUGGUGGCUGGCAGCCUACAGGAUUGGCCUUGUGGGAGGUCUGUUAAGUCAGUGAGGACCCUAGGUAUCACAUUUCAGUAUGUUCCUCGGCAAUGAUGGCCAUGGUUUUUUACCCUAUGAAUUUUCAUAUCUGACUCCAUAUUGCCCCGAGGGUCUCUGAGGGGGAACUGAACAGCAUAGACCAUGCUUCAGCCCUCUAUUUGAUCCUAACAGCAGCACACUCCUGCUCUUCUCCCUAAGAAGUAAUAGCAGCAACCACUUCUUCAUGACUUACACUCUGAUACUUUGGGGGGGCAUUCUGAACAGUUUUAGACCCUUGUAUUUGGUGAUUUAGUCUUCGGUUUGUUUGUGACAGAUUCUGAUGGAGCUCAGGCUGCUGCAUCUGUUAUGUAGCUGAAGAUGACUAGACUCCUGGUCCUCCUGCCUCUGCCUUCCAUGAGCUGGAAUUACAAAUAUGCACCACUGUACUGAGCCUGUGAUUUGGUUUUCAAAAAUACAUUUUGGUGUCACUGUAUUCCACUCAGAGCAUCAAGAAAAAGAAAACUUGGCUCAUGUGGUUCACAAGAAUUCACUGAAAAAUUAUCAUAAGCCUGGCGCAGCAGGGCUCUGAGAAUUCAAAGCCACACAGGCAAGGUCACUGUACCUAGAAAUACAAUUCAAUAGAGGAGACAAGUGUGUUAAUAAUUAACCAAGUGACUGAUGCUGGGUGGGGGCCCGCAAGGAGAGAUAAGGAAUUGAUUCUGUGGCUAGGAGUGGGGAUCAGAGAGGGGUCCCAGAGAGGGAGCUGUUUCAAGCAGCCUUUGAAAGAACACAGGAGCUGUGCAGCUGGAGGAAGAGAAGAGCUAUUCCAGGCGAUGGCAGACGCGCAGACAAAAACAGGGAGGUGUGAGAAUGCAUGGCAUUCACGGAAGCAGAGCCAAGGCCACCACCCACUGUUGCGCCAGUUGUGUGCUACACAACUCCAGGGGAGGCCGCUGUCCCAGCUUGAGAUGUGAGCAGCGUAGAUGGUCAUCUAGUCGCCCAAUAGCCGGUCCUAAGGAGGGCGGAUGAGGAAGAGUCCUGAGAAAUUCUGCUCUUGUUUCAUCUGUUGCCUUAGCUGUCAACGUGCAACUGAGCAACAACAAACCCUGGGUGAGCAACUCUGGAGGCCUUGGGGUUUGAUCAUGAGCUCUGCUUGCUGACUCUGCAAGUACAGGCUCCUGAGGACCUGGGCUGGCAAUUACCAGCUGUGCUGUCCGGGGGCACUGCUCUUCACAGCAUUAGUUUGUGUAUCAGUGGAAGGUGGUCAGUGGAUUGAGGGGCCCCACUCGUCAUCGUAGACAUCUGAGGGUGGAAAGACACAGUACUGACCAUCUAGUUAAGCACUCUCUGUAAAUCAGGAGCUGCGUUACCUGAAGGAGAAGACGCCCCCUCAAAACCAAGAGUAUAGUGGGUAGCUGUUCCAGCUUUGACCUAGAAGUACUAGCCCCACUGAGGCUUCUGGUAACUGUCACGCCUAUGAGGCAGGGCAGAAAGAGGAACCCUUAAGACCUAAGAUCUGGAUAUGCUGGCUCUCUUGUUUCCUGGAUCCUGGAUGCUGGAUGUAGACUCAACAGACCGCCGGACUGCGCUACACCAUUCCAGGACCCUGUAACCUAUCCCUUCACUUGUAAGUUACCCCACAACAUAAACUUCCCUUUUAACUACGUGGAGUUGCCUUAAUACUUCCACCAAUACAAGAGCUUGGAAGUUUCUGAGCCUGGAAUAGAAGCUCAGUUUCCUACCUUGAAUCUCAGCACCGUUAUCACCAGAAAGCCAGGAGCUCCCAUGAAGGACCAGGAAUAUGUUCUCCUAGUUCUAGUGAUGGGCAGUCUUUGAAAUCAGCAGACUGGAGGUCCAUUCUUAUCACAGCCCCAUGCAGGCUGGGGGACUCUCUUGGCUACGGUGCAGGGGUACAGGGGGCUCUGUGUUGUGGUUGAGAUCAUGGAGAAAAAUUGCCCACUCUUAAAAUCCAUGGCUGGGGAGUGGCACACGUCUCAGUGAGAAGAAUCCCAGAGCCUAUCUAGAAGCAAGGAGUAUGUUUGUGCAGGAGAUGUAGUCUAGCUCUACGCCAGGAUUCUGGGAUGGGCUUAAAGCAUCCCACAGACCCAGCCACAGUCAAGAUUGUACAGUUGCCCUAACAUUGGCAAAGCAGUGACAGUCAGCUGAAUAUUUAUCUGCUCUCUGCAUGAAUCCUCCAACGCCCCUCCUCAUGGUCCCUCUCACUUAGAGGGACCAAAUGCACAGGCCCAAAGGUAGAUGCUGUGUGCGUUGAGUUCUAAGCACUUCCUCACUGCAGGUGCAUGGGAAAGCAUGGGUUGAAGACAUGCCUCCCAUUGGAUGGUGCUCCUGACAGCAGCCUUGGAAUUAAUGUUCUUGGUGGUAGAUGCUGAGCGCCCUGGGACUGGAGAGGGCAGGGUAGAGAAACCUAGCUUCCCUUCUGUGUAGUUUCUGUCUGUCAGUCACGCUGGCUUUUCACUUGCCAGAAAACUAUUUAUUGUUAUGAACAGAGGGCCGUCCCUUAGAUCUGUCUGUGAGUGAGGAGCUGCAUGCUGGCAUGUGUGUGUGUGUGUGUUCAUUUCCUGUUGGGCUUUCUGCCUUGUUUCCCCUGAGGUAAAGAACAGAAAGUAGUGUGUUUUUCUUUCUGCCUCCAAGGCAUGUCGGUUUCAUGACCCGGAGAAAGCAUUGAUUUGGACAGAGACACUAAUGCAUCCCUUGUCCCCAGAAUCUCUCUCCUGAGGUCCUGGAGACCGCUUGAUUCCUCCAGACCUCUCGAACCCCCUUCUCUGGCGGAGGUUGGGCUCUUUCCUAUUUCCUCUGUUACCUACCUCCAAAGUUCUGACUCAGCACCACUACACAUUCCACCCAGCUUGCCCAGCACAUGCCCUGUACACCUUCCUGCAGGCACCUCACAAGUGUGAAAGAGACACGGAAGACUUGAUUCAUACCCAUCCCAAACAUGUGGAUGUACAGCUGGUACUGCCCCAGCUGACCAACUCCCAGUGUUCAGAUGCAGAGCCUCGUUGCUAUAGAAACCAUGUUUUAGCCCCAGGCUCUCAUCACCUAGCCUUUAAGCCCUUUUGAACUAGCAGCCUUGAUUCCAGUGUGAAAGCCUCGGAACACUGAAGAUAUUUCUUUUCUCAAAUAAGGACAUUUAGGUCUCUGGAGCUCCUUGGUGGAAGCUAGAUACAUUAGUUGUGGGAGUGUUACAUACAGCCUUCGUUCGCUCCCCCUUCCUCAUCCUCGUAUCAACAUGACGUCGGUUACUUUUCCCAUGGCUUGACAGAAGCAGCUUAAGGGAGAAAGCAUCAUUUUGGCUCACAGUUCGAAGGCCAGUUCAUUACGCUGGGGGUGGGCGGUGGGGACUUGAAGCAGGCUGCACACAUUGAAUCCACAGCCAAGAAGCAGAGAAUGUCAUAGAUGUAUGCUGGUGCCCCGCUCCCUGUCUCUCUUUUAUACAGCCCAGGCUCCCCAGCCUGAGGGAUGCUCCAGCUCACAAUUAAUAUGGGCUUUCCCACAUGAGUUAAUGUAAUCAGAAUGAUCCAACAGUCCAGAGGCCCAUCUCCCAGCUGAUUCUGUCAAGCUGACAAUUAACAUUAGCCACCACACAUGGCAAAGGUCAAAGGUGACUUGAAUAUGUCUCUGUCCAUUCAGGGGUGCAGGCUAGUGGCCACUGGGGUUUCUUGCCAUCAUGGUCAUGUUAUUGGUGGCACUUUGGCAGCUUGGCUCCAGUGACUGUAUGAGUUCACAAUUGUGCCAGGUGGUAUACAAGGUACUUGGCAUAUAUCAAUCACCUCACUUAUCUCUCCUUCACUUGUAAGAGAUAAGCAUUAUUACACCCAUUUUACCUGAGGUUUAAAGGUUAAAUCACCUUGCUAAGGCACCAGGUGAAUGUGGGCUAGAGUUUAGGAGUCGUGACACCAUCUCCAUCACAAAUAUCUGCAGAGGCGGGGCUAUGCAGAGGACUGUCAGGACACCAAUGCAGUACCCAGGAAAAGGAACACUUAAUUCAUUCUCACAGGGGAGUCGGGGAGCCUGACCCAGAUAAGACUAAAGUUGAGCUGGUGCUUAACACCUAGGUGGCAUCCCUGGAAUCCCAGGCCUUGAAAAACUGAGGGAGGAGAAUUGAAAGUUGUAGGCCAGUCAUAGGUACACAGCAAGACCCUGUUCCCCAAACCUACAACAGACAAACAAAUAAACUGGUAAUGGUAAUGCUGGCAGGGGCCUCGCAGGCCAGUUAAGAAAAAACAAGGCUUUGGAGGGUAGGGCAGGGUCAGGGGAACCCACUGGAGUGGUGGGAGGAGCUACUUACGUUUUUCUGCACUUUCCUUCCAAGUGCUUAGGUUAGAGAACUCCAGAAUCACUUGCAUUGUUAUAAAGAGCAGGGUUCUUCCCUCUCGGUUUGCAGCUGGGGUUGUUAAGCCUUGCUUGGAAGUACUAGAACCCAGAGAGUUCCCUAGCAUGGAGCCCCAGGAGGUUUGGUCACAGGUCCUCAGGGCACUCUACCUGCAGCAGGCCAGCAACAGAGCCCCAGGAACGGAGAGCUGCUGCUGUGCUCUCACACACGCCCCAGCUUCCCUUCUUCCUGACCCUUGGUUUCUUGACAUCACAAAGCAAAGUCGGUGUCCUGUAAUCUCAGCCCCAGCUUGGGUUGUUGUGUCUAGAUUCCCAGAUCUCUUCUCUGCAAGCAGAGGCAAUAAAAUGGGGAUAGGAGGGAGGGUCUGGAAUCCUGGUACGUCCAUUCCCACUAGCUGGGUGACCGGUGUUCUCUGCCCAUUCUGCACUGGGCUCCGUGCCUGGCGGUGUGAUUAGUCUCCACUGUUGUGGCCUUAGGCUUUUCCUCUGAAAAUAACUAGAAAUGAGCCAUAAAGCAGCUAGUGACUCACUGUCAUUAAGCAGAUGAUGUGUUAUUGAAUAGCCACGUGGUGAUGCUGCAGCAAGCGGAAUUCAUCCACAGUCAUGGCAGGCAAGAUGGAGAGCCGGCAAAAGGGAGAGCCGCCCAACUGGUGGCAUCCUGAGACUGUUGGGACAAGUCAAUGGCGGCAAGACAUCUUCUCCAGGGGUGUUUACGGCUGGGAUAGACUUGUGGACUUGUAGGAGACAUGGGGGUACACCACAAAAGGCUCGCCAUAGUCAGAAGCCCUACUUCCAAGGAAACACUUUGCAGCUGGGUUUCACCCUGCAGGCCCACCUCACAGGGAACUUCUUAGAAGGUGACUGUGGGUACAGUGGUCUGGGUGGGGCCUGAGUUUGUGUGUUUAUAGCAAGCUUUCAGGACUAGCUGUGGCCCCUUCUGGUUAAAGACACAUUGGGAGCAGGUGGCCAAGAAGAAGGCAGCAGGGUUCUCCCAGAAACAAAAAGACUUGACUCAAGUAUGACUUUCCAUGCUUCAAUGUCUUAAUGAAAAUAUCCUAAAGUACCUCAGGUGGGGGACAGGGAGGACCUAGGAUGCAUGGCUUCUGUUGAGAAGGACAGCUAAGGACUGCUGAACGGCACAGCCAGCAGAAAGACCCAGGAAAUCCCCAAGAUCUGAUGCUCUACCGAGCCUGUUCAGCACUGGCCAAUCACUGCUUGGACCAUACCGUCAGGUGGCAUCACUCCCCAGAGGACCCAAGGGUGGCCUCACUGAGGUGGGAGAUGUGACUAAUUCUGAUUUUACUCCAUCCUCCACCUGGGCAUAGCUGUCAGCCAGCAUAGUCUGGGGAGACAGGCAUUCUGAAUUCAGGAGACAUCGGUGUACAAUCUUGUCUUGAGUUAUCCUUUGGUGAUGUCUGGAAGGUGUGCCCUUGGAGGUUUUAAGGUCGGUCCUCACAGUGAGAUGGGACAGACAGUGAUGGAGCAGGAAUAUGGGGACAGAGACAUCAAGUGCUAGCAGAGUGGGACCCCCCUCCCCGGGCCAGGGUGAACCACACAGGCCCUCCUGCUUACUCUCCAUUCACAUCUGCAAAAUGAAUCCUCUUUUCAACUGAAGAAAAGAGGAGAUUUCACAGGUUGACCUAUUUGUCACAGAUGCCAAAUCACUAGGACUCAUGCCACAAAAGACCCCAAAAUCUAGAUGCCCCAGGCUGUUGAUUUCCAAACCAGUUCUCCAUCCUUAGGGCAGGGAACUAGGAAAUUAUUCCAGAAAAAUAGUGCUCAGGGUUAGGGAGUGAGUGGUGGUCAGUGGCAUGGCUCCUUGAACUUCUUGCAAUCUGAGGGGCUCUUUCAAGUCAGAUUAUGUGGCCUGCCAUAGUCAUCUAAAUACCCAAUGCCACCCCUUUUACACCUUAGUGUCUAGAGAGUCAUACUCCACAGUGACCCUUGAACCCUAGGCCAGAAAAUCUCAAGCUGGUCCACUUUUGUUCUCCAACCCCCAGGGGACAUCAGAAAGAGUCUGCUGGUGUUUGGGGCUGUCACCCCUUCCUUAGUCAUGUAAAUCUAGUGGAUAGUGGCCAGGGAUGCAGACAAACUCCUACAAGGCACAGAACAGAAUGACUCAGCCCAAAGUGAGGAGAAGCCUUUCUCUAGGUAAGUAUUCCUGGGGUUCAGGGCUAGCCUGGGGAGCUGUUGCACACACAGCAAGGGUAAGACUUUGCAGAGAACUUGCCUCAGGGUGAGACACCAGGGCUUAACGCCUCCCCUUUCAGUGGCAGUCAGUAUGAGCUCUCUCUGCCAUCUGUCACUGUUGUUCACCUUUCAGGCUGUGGUCAGGCUUUUUGCCUGAUGUCCAGGUGGCUUUAAUAGGUGGUUGUGAGCUACAGAGGAAGCAGGGAGACACGAGGUCUUCCUCAUGUACAUUGUCCCGCAUUCAUGGACUUCAGCCUUACCCGAAAGUCAACACAGCCUAUGACAUCAGCAGCUCUGGAUAGUGGCUGUGUCACCUCGGGAAGAGAGUCCACCUCUUUGUUCUCAGUCUCCUUGCUUGCAGGAGGCACGGAACCAGGCUUGCUACCCAUGCAAAGAUGAGAACAGUGUAGGCAUUCAGGACAUGAAUACUGAUGUCAGCACCCCAAACUUCAAGUGAGUGCUUGGUUCCUCUACCGCACAUGGACUGAGCAUGCACAGGAAGAGCAAGCAAAUCCUCACGCAAUGUCUAGGAGCUGAGCAAGUGGAACGUGGCAGUCUUGGCGGAGGGUGAUUCGGGAUGUCAAGGGAAACAGUUGGCUGAAGCUUGGCACCUACUCCUCUCUGCAUGUAGGUCUUGGAUUUUGGUAACCAUUAGGUCUGAGGGGGAUGCUGAGGUGAGGUGGUAGGACCAGCUAGUGAGGACAGGGAGUGUGUCUCCUGGACGGAUGCUCUUGGUUCUAUCUGAGGAUGCAAGACUAUAGAAUCAAAUGCAUUUGAUUCCCAGACUAUACUUUAGUGCUUUGAGGAGUCUUGUUUUGCCCCUUUUCAAUUGUUCUUAGCAUCCAUUAGAUGUGAAUAUGCCGGCAACAUACAAAUACUGUUUUAUUUUUCUUUGUCUCUUGCCUUUUCCCCUAAAGGGUUGGAGGCAGCCAGAACUAAUGACAGGGUUGACAUAGUUAUAGGUAUAGGUGUGGACCUAGGUGUGAUCAGCUUACUGAGGCAGAAAAACACAUUCACGUAACAAGGCUUUGAUGCUUGGCCACUCAAGGUCACACAAAAUGUUCGUGCUGUGUAAUUUCUCCCACACUCUCUCUUUUUACCUUUUCUGGUGAGAAAGUUGAAGACAGAUGAAAUAAUCAUGAUGAGUAGAUUGGUUUACAGCACUGAUUUAAAUUUUAGUCCUGAUAUAUGGAUGAGAAGAUCCUGCAGGGCCAGUGCUUCCGGCCUUUAGACUGGCCUGACAUGAACUACUCCCAAAGGAGAAAACAUGCCACUGUUCCUUUUCUUCUUAUCCCUAAAUAUCCUCUUACCUAGUGCUUACAGAAAAUUCAUGGGCCCCCUUUCCUUCUGAGGGUCUGGGUGCUGGUUUUCGGUGCUAUAGGCAGACAGAUCACCUAUGCAGACUCAUUCACCCCUGCUCCUGCUGGUGUUCAGCCUGUCUCUAUACAUCCAUUAAAAAUAACUAUUAUUUAGUCAUUUUUUCCAUCCAUUCAUUCAUCCACCCACCCAUCCAUCCAGUGCAAAGGCAUGUGGUUGGCACAUCACUUGUUUAAGCAAACUCAGAUGGCUGAGUCUUUCACCCUCUACCCCCUGUAAAUGCUGAGUCCUCCCAUGCCAGGGUGAGGCCUGUGGACGGAGCUGAAGUGAACAAUCCAGGUCACACAGAAGGAGCAUGUCUGUGUGUAAGGAGGUAUGGGCUGUGUGAAAUGUCAGAAGGGAGGGUCCAAGCAACUCCGUGGAUAUACCAGUAGAGCCACGCUUCAACUCUAGGCAGUGUGAGCCCUCAGCCAUCAGUCCAGCUCUGUCUAUUCUUAGUCACAGGCUUGGACUUGUGCAUGGUUCCAUGGGCGUUCUUGGCACCAGUUGCUCAGUGCCUCACUGGGUCCUCCCUGUGCCUCACCGGGUCCUCCCUGUGCCUCACCAGGUCCUCCCUGUGCCUCACCAGGUCCUCCCUCCCUGUGCCUCACCAGGUCCUCCCCGUGCCUCACCAGGUCCUCCCCGUGCCUCACCGGGUCCUCCCUGUGCCUCACCGGGUCCUCCCUGUGCCUCACCGGGUCCUCCCUGUGCCUCACCGGGUCCUCCCUGUGCCUCACCGGGUCCUCCCUGUGCCUCGCCGGGUCCUCCCUGUGCCUCGCCGGGUCCUCCCUGUACCUCGCCAGGUCCUCCCUCCCUGUGCCUCACCGGGUCCUCCCUGUGCCUCACCGGGUCCUCCCUGUGCCUCACCAGGCCCUCCCCGUUCACUCUUUACAAAGCUUGUCUUUCCUUGGCUUUGGUUGGGUCCGUCACUUGGCUGGAUCACAACAUCUUCUCUUCUCUGUCACACUUACCUGCUCACAAGCACAGUCACUCACAUGUACGUUCAGGUACACUCAACAUGGGCACAGUUCAAACACGUUUAUUUAGAUAAUUCACCUAUACAGGUAAACGCACUCACAUACACACAUUUACUCCUGAACACACACAUAGUCCAUUCACAUACACACAUUUGCUCCUGAACACACACAUACUCACACUUCAACAGGCACGUAUACUUGCUCAUAUGUGUAUACACACACACACACACACACACACACACACACACACACACACACACACAAACACACACACAUUUGUGAAUGUGUAUUUAUAUACAUAUACACCUUUGGCUGACCAAAACUUCAGAAAGAAGCUUUGAGUGAGUACCAACAUCUUCUAGAGUUUUCCGCUUCCCCUGGUGACAGCACAGAUGAAGGGACUCUGGUUGAAUGCUCUAGGGACUAUGCCAUUCUGGAUAAUGCAUUUUCCUGGUUGUCUGGAAGCUCACGAGAAUACCGGCCACCUUGGUUUUGUUUGGUGGUUGUUUCGUUAUAGCAAGCAAGUUUGGCAACACCAUAACUAUUUCCCUAUCUUCUUGAAUUUUUCAAUGAGCUGAACCUGACUUCAAUUGAUACAGGCUCAGUAGCAUGGAAGACAAAGUUUCCUUAUCACUUGAAGGACAUGGGCUUUGAGAUGAGACACAUUUGGUACUGGUAUUCAGUUUUGAGUGCCAUGUAUAGGCCCUGCAGGUUUAAAGUUCUGGUUUAAGCCGGGCGGUGGUGGCGCACGCCUUUAAUCCCAGCACUCGGGAGGCAGAGCCAGGCGGAUCUCUGUGAGUUCGAGGCCAGCCUGGGCUACCAAGUGAGUUCCAGGACAGGCGCAAAGCUACACAGAGAAACCCUGUCUCGAAAAACCAAAAAAAAAAAAAAAAAAAAAAAAAAGUUCUGGUUUAAACUUGAUCUUGACAUCAUUGACCGCUCUAUCGAAAUGCAGACAACCAUAUUUAUACUGUGAGAUGCCUUUGAGAGCUGGGAUUUACAUGGGCUUGAGCUCUGGGGACUCAGGGGUGAGGUACUGUAGGAAAUUCUGCCCAAAUGUGUUGUGAUCAUGGUCUCAUGGGGUGGGUUAUUUAGGGUGGGUUAUUUAUGGCAGAAUUCUCUAUUGUUGAGUAGAGAGAAACUUCAAGAAGGAAACAAAAGCCUGUUCCUGGGCAUCUUGGGCUUCUAGUGGCAUUCAAGGCAAAAAAGAUUUUGAUGAAUUGUCAGGCAGUCACAAACACAUGCAGACCAAUGCUGGGCCUCCAAGAUCUCCAGAGUCAAGGGGAAGAGAGGAGCCAGGAGGCUGGUUCAACCAGGGGGCAGAAAGCUUAGAGUGCAGAGCCAGAUGAGGACAGAGCCAGGCGAGGGCAGAGCCAGGCGAGGGCAGAGCCAGGCGAGCGCAGAGCCAGGCAAGGACAGCAAGAACUGUGCUGUGGAAGGUUCUGCAGCUCCUGAGGCUAUAACUGUGCUCCUUUUCAAGAACAGGAUUCUGUCCAGGCAGCUUAGGAGAGGCCAAGCCGCAGCACACAACCUAAACCUCAUCGACCGAGGCCACUUAAUCCCUUCCUUCUCUUUCUCUUAUUUAGAAUACCACAAACACAAUUCUAAGGAAUACUCAGGACCAGACAUAAAAAAUAGAGAACCAAGAAGCCCCUGGCACCCAGUCUCCUGGGUCCAUUCAGCCUUUUUUAAUGAUUAAUUAAUCACAAAUUAGCAAGCACGCAAUGAACAAUAGGGAAGCCAGGCUGUGUCUUCUAGUGCUUCUAGACAUGUUACAAAACAAACCAUCCAAGGUAGAACUACCUGCCUACUGAAUGCCAAGCAUUCAGUGGCGUAUGGCAGAGUCACAGAGGAGCCCUUGGGGGACUCAAAGUCUGCUGGGGAAACAGGGGACAUCCUAAGAAAGUCACCACUGCAUCCACUAACGAGUGCAGUGCAAGGUGAUUGUCCAGCCAGUCAAGUGUCAGCAGCCUGCUAGACUGGGAAGCCAGCUAGUUGGGAAUCUCUUCCUCCUUCCUUAAGAGAAAUCCUGGCUGGACAUCCAACGUCUCCAGAUACCCGGGAAGGAGAUUUUAAAGAAGUCAGGACAUGAAAAUGGAAGGAGAGGACAUCCUUUCUGUCCUAAAUCUUGGAACAUGGGGACUGCUAUUGUCACAGGGAAAGGCCACAAUACUUUUGUCCCAAGAGCUUCAAGUGUGUGACAUUAAAAGAUACGUGAGCUGGGUCUGCUCACCCCCUACUUCCAUGUGCGUCUGGUAGAAAUUGGGCCACUGACAGCCCUUGCUUCCCUUGGGACCAUCCUUAGGCCACAUCUCCAGGCCAGCGGCAUUUCUGGUAUGUCCCUCCCUAACAACCCACAGGCUAUGUUCAGCCUUGACUUGGUCUCCGUUUUCCUCCUGUGACAACUGUCAACACUCUAUCAUCUCAGCAUCCUCUCUUGGGAGAAGCCUCUUACGUUUAAAGAGAGUGUUUCCCUCCAUAGCCCAGGCUAGCUCUGAACCUGCCAUCCUCCCCGUACUAAGACUGCAGGAGUGUCCACCUUGUACAGCUUCGCAUCUGAACUUAAGCGCAUGCUUUAAGGUUAUUCUGUAGCUUACCUUUCCUUUACCAUCUCACCCCUCAAUACUUCCCUUGAGAGCAAUUCUCUCCUUCCUGUUCUUUCUAAGGGCCUGAAACACUGUUGCUAUAAGGAAUCAGUUCCAACGUUGGGGAUAAACAAGCAUCCAUUUAAGGCAGGGCUUGACGGUAUACCUGGUAGUUGUAUAACUUUGCGUGGAUGAUUUGUUUUCUCUGAGCUUGACUCUUCUGUAUCAUCAGACUUAUGCUGCCAUAAGUGCAUCUCAUGUCAACUAGUACAUAGCAGGUGGCUGGAACUCUAAUGUGUCAUCUUCAUUUCUUUACACACACACACACACACACACACACACACGCACGCACGCACGCACGCACGCACGCACACGCACACGCGCACACGCACACACAGCUUGUACUAAUAUAACAUUAGUCGAGUUCCCGAUCUGCCAUUCUACACCUGGCUAGCCAUUUCAAUAAGUCCCAUAUUAUUGAAUACGCUCCCAACUGUGUUUGUGAUGCACCUGCUGCUGCUGAUUUCUAGAUGAGCAACCGAGGCAGAGAUUGGGAAGGAGAACCAGGAUUCCACGAGGGUACCUCUCAUACCUUUGCUGUCACCUCUGGCACUGAUCUCAGGUCAUUCACUUAAGACACCUGGUCCAUCAGAAGAAUGUCCUUGGAAGUAGCAUGCUGUGUCUGGGUUGGGAAAGGAGGCCCAUGAAUUUGUUAUCCAGGAUGUUGCCUGCUGGUUGAGGGCAGAAAGAGACAGGGUAAGGGUAACUGGGCAUGCUUGCUUGGACUAUAUACUCUGUUUCUAUGGAAUUUCUUACCCUCAGUCCAGGGUGGGGAAGGUCUUACAGGACAGGUGGUGAGUUGAGGAAGAGUGGCUGAUGCUGAGGCUCCUCUUCCAGAAGGUGUCUGUCCAUGGCAAAUUCAUGAGCUAAGAAGUGAUCUUUCUCUAGAUUCAAGAAUAUUACUAAGCUGUGACAGAGCUGACCAAUACCCAAUGAUCAUUCCUGAGAGAGAGAGAGAGGAGAGAGAGAGGAAGAAGAAAAUGUGGUGCCAACUUUCGGCUCCUUUCCUGUUGUUCUAUAAAGUCAAACAGUCCUUCUAAGUGGGCAUCUCAGCUUUCAAAUGGUAAACUGAGGCACAGAGAAGGGCCUAUGUUUGCCUGGGUUUCACAUUAUACCAUAUGUCAAAGGGUGCAGAGGUAUGUUCCAGCUGCAUACUUGGGCUCUGUGCCUGAACACACAGGAGAACCACGUGGGCUCUGCCAAGGGCGAGCUCUUGACCUAGGCAAAGGGAGUCAGGGGAUUAUGGGGAGGGAAUGGAACUCCGAUCCUCAUUGUUCAUAAGGUCUGCAAACUCUUCUGAUGUUGGUAGUCCAGAUUCACACUGUCGUCUUCCGGCUCCAUCAGGAAGCUGUGGCACUGUGUACCACUGAGGCACUGUGGUAAUCUACUCUGGCACCUGCCACUCCCUUAGGCAGCCCCUCCUUGGGACUCAGGCUGGUGAGCUGCUCUCACCCCCACACAAGAACCAUUUGAAGGGUUAAAGGAGGUGUGGAUGGGUACCAUGGUCUCUUCUGUCCUGGGAUCUUCUCUCUCUCCUUGAUGGCUGGGUUCUUGGGGCAAGGCUGAGCCAGUCUCCUGUCCCAGAACUUCUCUGCUGGGCCUAACUUGACUGCUCUCUUCUCAGGGACCUUCUGAUUUGAAGCCCUGAUUCAUUCUCUCUCUCUCUCUCUCUCUCUCUCUCUCUCUCUCUCUCUCUCUCUCUCUCUCUCUCUCUCCUGUCUCCCAGUGUCCUCUACCCCCCCCAUGCCUCUCUGGCGCUUUCUCCCAAUCUCUCGUCUAAUCUCACCCCACUGAGAUCCCCAGCACACCGCCUGCAGGAUUGGAGCUGGGAGGUGGUGACUAAUGUGCUUGGAGGUGAGUCAUCCGCUAAAUAUAAAACCCACUCACAUCCCUGGAUGCAAAAUUUCUGAGACUCUGCAUCCUUCUCUUUCCCCCUCCCUCCUGGGGGGCGGGGCGCAGAAAACAAGUAAACACCACGCAGCUGCAGUGGUAGCAGCAUCCCCCUGUGCCCUUCAGCUCUGUCCUGCCAAGGCCACCAAUGCCCCUGGUCUAUACAGGUCCUCUGAGACAAGGAGCAAGAUGGGGAGUCUUGACCCAAGAACUGCCGGGCAGUUAAGGAAGCAGGCAUUUCUUCGGGAUUCUCCCCUCCUUCAGCUUGUGCCCUUUUGUGUCAAGUGGCCUCAAAUUGCUCCUUCUCCUGGAAAGGUAGUCAGCCUCUAAACACAUUCACGCUUGGCAGAGUCCAGGAAACACUCCUGUGUGCAGUAUGGAAAGGCAGAGUUUGGGUGCAGUGAGCCAGGGUGGGUGACACCUACUUCUUAUGCACAGUUGGAUUCUUAUUAGGGCUGACAGCUUGAAUUUUGAGUUCUUGUGUAUGGACGGGGACACACACACACACACACACACACACACACACACACACACACACACGCGUGCACACACACACAUCCCUUUUGUAUAUAUACCGUAUCAUUGACUAUAUACGUAAACACAUAUACACACACAUCCUAUACGCAUUUAAUAGUUGAUAUUGCUUUUGUGUCAGGUGACAUUUUCACUGUCUCACAUGGAGUUCCUCCGCUAAUGUUCUUAUAUACUUCUGAGACUGGGCCCCUCAAUAUCCUCACUUUACAGAUGUGGAGACCAAAGUUCUGCAAGACUCAAGAUAGCUGUCUCAAAGAACAAUACCAGGACCGACAACCUAUAUGCCUGUGUGUCCCAUGUGCCUCAGCUUGCAGGUUAAACUAGAACUCUUCAGACUUCUGUGAAAGUUAUCUUCUAAGAAAGAUAUCUUCUGUCUCAGUGUGUGUGUGUGUGUGUGUGUGUGUGUGUGUGUGUGUGUGUGUGUGUGUCCACAUACACUUAUACAUGAAACAUCAUUUGAGAGAAAUAGCACUAAUCCUGACUACCUUCACAUUUAAUGUCUUCUCUGAAUUCCGUUCUGUUUGACUGUUCCCUACUCUUCGGAAGCCAGCUUCAUUCUGAUGGCACUCUAAUAGUUACAGCGUCCGUCAGGUUUGCUCUGUGGCCCUCUAAAGGUCAUCCUGCACCUCUGAAAAUCAUUGAGACAUCGGAGUGCGCUCACUCCUUCAGGGCAUAGUGUGAGAGCUGAGUCCCAGUCCUAGAACAGACUUCCUCUGUGGCUUUAGACAAACGUCUUCACUUCUCUAGGUCCCAUCUUCAUAGACCCUGUUUGCCAUGGAGCCUUACAGAACGGCCUGGAGACAGAGAUCUUCCUUUCCUAUAACCAUCACAGACUGAGAUGAGGUGACCUCCCCAAGUGUGAGUUGACAUGUACAUGGCUUAUGUGUGAGGUAGGGGAAACCCAGCAGAUGGCCUGGCAGGUGUCCAUUCUGGCUUGCAGGGCACACUUGGACUGUAGCACAGGGCAUAAAGAUGACACAAUUUCCAACCUGGGAGCUUUUGAUUGGGCAAAAUCUCACACUUUCUUAUGUAAAACGUUCAUUUCAUUUCCUUCCACCUCUUAUAUUUAUCCUUUCUUGGGUUUGGAGAAGUCCAAGGCAAGACCAUUUUAACUGAGCUUAACAGAUAAAUAUGGACAAAGAAAUGCAGAGGAGUCAUGCAUGGGUCAGAAUCGUCUUCCCAAAUGGACCAGGCCUACUUUCUGAUCUCUGCUGGGUCACUGAGUGGCUGCAUGAGUGUAGAGUUGAUAGUCUGAGCGUAGUCGGAUAGCAGGCACCUAGAUGGGUCUUCUCCUGCAUACAGCUUCUAGAAAAUGAGAUGCUACAACUGAGACAGGAAGGAGAGAAUGAUUUUGAGAGAGAACCUCUCACGAAGAGCCCAGCAGUCCCGAGGGUGGGAAACACUUCAUUUUUAAUAGUUCAAGGAGCCUGCCAUUCAUGUGUGCUUGUUGAUGGGCGUGCAUCUCAACCUCCUGCUGUGGCUUGUCUUGGGGGGGUUGUUUGUGGGAGAUUCACCUGCCUAAGUGUCAUAGAACUGCCAAAGCACGCCACCCAUGGCCAUCACCUAACGUCACUCAUGAGGUCCAGAGGAGACAUGACUUGCUUGGAUCUCACGGAGAACCAGAGACUCAGAACUCUUGUGCUUGCUACUUCCCAGAUCCCAAAGGUCGGGCCAGCUCUGCCUCUAAGGACAGUCUGGGUGUGUAUCCAGCCUUCUACCUCUCUGACGCUGCAUGAGGCAGUGGAAGGAUGGUCUGUCCUUCCCAACCGCCAGGCAUCACAGGUCAUCCUUGGCCAGGGAAAUAUGCUUCAUCCUGCAUGCAUUAGUCAGCUUUUCGUGGCUAUCGGGAACUAUCCGAGGGAGGCUAACUUUAUAAAGAAAAGAGGUUCCUUUGACUCCCAGUUUUAGAGCUUUCAGAAUUCAACAGCAUGGCCCAGGCUCCGGUGAAGGACGCACGGCAGAUGGCGGGAGUGUGUGUGGGAGGAAGGAUCACACCUCAGACAGAGUGAGAUCGAGCCGGGUUUUUAUAACAGCCUUCCCACAAAGACGAACCAGAGACCCAUGAGAAGCAUCCCAGUGCUUCUUAGGAAGGCCCGUUGCACCGACGUGAAGAGCUUCUGCUAGAAGUAGCCCCAUUUUUGCAUGUAUACAUGUGUGGCAUGUGUGUAUACAUGUUUGGACAUAUCUGGGUAAACGUGUAUAUAAUAUGCAUGUGUGUGAGAGUCAGAGCAGACUUGAGUGUCUCCCUUGUUGACUUUCCACCUUACAUAUAAAGGCUGGGUUUCUCGUUGAACCCAGAGCUUACCAGCACAGUCUAGCUAGCCACUUAGCUCCAGGGACACCCUGUCUGCCUCCAGAGUGCUGUGGGUGCUGGGGAUUUGAACUCUGGUCUUCAUACUUGCUCACAAGCACUUUUCCCACAGAGCCAUCUCCCUAGCUCCUAGAUUCCCACCUCUUAAUGGUGCCCCAGUACUUCCCAACCAUUCAACCCUGGAGAGCAAACUCCCAACACACACAACCCCCUGGGGUGGCGAAUAGCACCUCUCUGUAGCACCACUUCUCUGAAACACAGCUUCCGUGUGGGGCUUUGUGGGAGGGGAGUGCUCAUAUGAGUUAUCUGAAGAUCCACAUUUCCUCAGCAUCCUCCGCUCUCUGGAAAGGAUGACCAAGCUGUCAGGCUGGUAACCUUUGCCCUUCACUCUCCUCUGGAAUAGAAGGAGUUCUGAGAGUGUCUUGGAAUUCUGAGGCACAUAGGAUGAGAAUUCCUCUCACUUAUGCCCAGGUGCUCCUCCUCUCCUACUGUCCCCCCAUCAGAAGUCACUUGGAGCCUAAUUUUGUAACUGGGUACUGAAUUCACACUCUGAGAAAGCCUUUGAGGAGUCAUCUUGGUCCCGCUACUCUGUGAGACAAUCCAGCCCCAGCUGAUGAUCAGACCCUCUGAGGAAACAGGACACUAUGCUACCCCAGAACCACAGUAGAAUCUGGGGACCUUGUUCAUGGAUGUUCUCUUCCUCCCUCCCUGAAGCAGGGGCUGCUGCCACCCUUGUCAGGGACUCCUUGUAGAGGGGAAAGGAGUAGUUCAGAUUGUCACAGUGCAGGAAGAUGGGCCUGCAUCUCUAGAGGCUUCUGAGAGAUGCUUUUGAGAAAGGAGCAAGCAUGCCUCUGUUUCCUUCCCCCCAGAAGGAAACAUGCAUUGCACACUUGUGAUGGACCCCACGCUCUUUUAGAAUGUAUUUGCUCACAGUGUCAAGUCUGUGUCUCAGGUCUGUGUCUCAGGGGAGAGGUGGGCACCUGCACACUACCAUCUGCCUGACCCAUGGCAAUGCACACAGACAUGCUGUCUGCCCCGGCCCCCUUCCUGUCUAUUCUGGAGAACCGUUCUAUGGCCUUCUCACGAGUUCAAGCAAAGGAACCUUGUGGAAACUUCCAGUGCCUUGGAGGAGGGAGGAGCAUCUGCUUGCAAAGCCUUCGCUGCAGCCGCUGCUCCACAAACAGCUCUGCUGGGCUGCGCUCAGGUCGGAACAGGCACCGCGGACUGAGAAGUGGGAUGCUGUUCACUCAGGGAGAAAGGCCUGUCACCUCAUGGGUGCAGAGGAAAUGGCUCUGUAGAGUGGCCUUGCCCAGUGGCAGCCCCUAACCAUGUGACAUGGUUCUUGUGACCACUGUAUCAUCUGGGAACACAAACUUGCUCUUGGCAUCAGAGGCAGCAACUAAGCAGUGAGGGAGGGCUCUGUGGUCUGUGAGAGAGCGUGUCGAUGGACUUACCCUGACAGCGAAGUCACCUCUCAGCUACUAAGUGGAAGAAAUGUGCCUGCAUGACCCUCCGUUUUUCAGGACGUCUGGCCUCUGUGCCACCUUUACUUCCAGGAGAGCCUGGCUGCCUGUACUCACCCAGGCUGUUCGCCGUGGUCCCUGUCACCGGUCUCCUGAGCUGUGUCCACUUCCCCUGCUGUGAAUCCCGAUGAGAUAGGAGCUAAAGAAUAAAGCACAGAAAAUGAGACUAGCCUGGGGCUUGUCCCAUAUGGUCUGAGUCAGUCCUACCAAACCCUUGAAAAGCGGGACCUUAGGGCCACAGUGUAGUUUCCUUUCCUCCUAUCCUUGUCAAGUCUGGACUGCAGAGCGGCCAGAAUUGCAUCUCUGGGAGCCGGGAGUGAUGAGGUGACUUCCAAAGAGAAGCGACAGAGGUUAGAACUCCCUGAGUGUGUGUAGAUCCCAGAGAACAGGACUGGGUGACAGCAUAGCCUUCCACUUCUGCCUCAGAGACGAGGUCAUGAGGACCAGGACCUGGGUGACAGCGUAGCCCUCCACCUCUGCAUCAGGGAUGAGGUAAUGAGGACCAGCAGAUGCUGCCUCCUUCUGUACUAUCUGAGUGAGUCCAGGGCCUGACCACCCGCCUUUGUAGACUGGCUGAGAACAUUCGAGGAGAUGAGACAUGUUUGGCAGUUAGUCAUGUUUGUGUGUGACAACCUCCCCUGGGAUUCAACUAUCAUCUCUAACCCUCAGGCUUCACUCCUUCACAAAUCCCUGUUCUCGAGGUUGGCAGAAGCCAGACCACUGUGUUGGAAUCCCACUCUGGUCACAUUUCAGCUGAGUGACUAUCAGCCACCCUUACUCUCAGUCCCUUGACCUAAAAAUGUGGCAUGACAAUGCUUAUUGCUACCUCGAGGGGCCUGAGGAUCAGUUGAAGUGAGCCGAAGACACAGGCACCCAGGACAGUUCAUAGGCGCAGCUGGGAAUCUCCAUGCUCCAGGGCACACAGUGAGGGCCCUCGGCUUCAACUUAGCAUGCAGGUUACUCCACCUCUUAACAGCUUUCUGGUUGGUUGUCAUGCCUCCCUCACUAGGGAGCAGCAAGGUGUAGGAAACUGACUCAAUGCUACCUCUCCAUUUUGGUGUUGUUGCUUGGAAUCGAAACAUGGAGAGGGUCUCGGUGCUUUGGUUAGGGGAUCCCAGUGCCUCAGCAACGGAACAAGAAGGCCCACUUCAGCCCAUCCUAUGCACCUAAGAAUAAGGACCUAAAAUGUCCGUCUUGUGUUUUUUCUCCACAUGGUACCUCUGUGGCAAUCCCUGAGUUGGACAGAGCCAUUUAACAUUCGGUUCAGCCUGAUGCCCAAGGUGCCUUUGCAGCCGUGCCGGCGGAGUGGCUGGUGUUGCCUUGAAAAUACGGAAAGUAUCUGCCCCCUAGUGGCAAGGUUAGGAACAACCGCUGCUGCUUCCUACCAGGCUUGGCAGCCUGGUGGCCAGACUUGAAGUCUGCGGCAUUGGGUCACAAGGUGGGGACACACUCCAGGUCCUAGUCUUGGGUUUCACCCACCCACUCUUUCGCUAAUUUGUUUUCACUCAGCAAACAUGGAGUGCCCACAUGUGAGAGUACAGCUCCGAGCAGUAGGAAUGCAGCAGUGGCCAAGAAAGGCAGUGACUCUAGCCACCUGGCGCCCACCUCUUCACUGAAAUGUGAAAUUGAUCAACUGUACACACAGAAGUGUAGCUGGAAGUUUACCUGUGUCCUGCAGCUGCUCAGUCCCAAAUAAACAUGCAGUGGCGUAUAUUUAUUACAAACUGUUUGGUCUAUGGCUCAGGCUUAUUGUUAACUAGCUCUUUUAUCUUAAAUUGACCCAUUUCUACUCAUCUAUGUGUUGCCAUGUGUCUCUUGGCUUUACCUGUGUUCCAUUACAUCUUGCUCCUCCAGCAGCUCACAGUGUCUUCCUUGACUUCAUCUUUCUUCUCCCCGAAUCUUUGUUUGGUUUUCCUGCCUGGCUUUAAUCUGUCUUGCCAUAGGUCAAAGCAGCCUCUUUGUUAACCAAUGGUAGCAACACAUAUUCACAGCAUACCAAAAGACCAUUCCACAGCACAGAAGCCCAAAGAGCUGUGAACCAAGCAAGAGACUGCAGGGCAAUGCAGCUCCCCUGCCUUAGGUUCUAGAAGUUUAAUAAAGAGGCAGCUGUAUACAAAGAGUAAGGUCUUUGUGUAAAGUUUUCCUUCUUAAGGAGCCACACAGGCUGAAGGGUGGUUUUUAUAAUACAUGGUGCUGGCUCUGCACCUUCACGUGCAGAGGAGUGACACUGGACCCAGAUACCACAUGCAGAAAUAAACUCAAAAUGGAUAAAGACUCUUGUGCAACCCUAAAAGCGCCUCUCUAAUAGAAGAAAACAGGGAAUUUCUUGACCUUCAUCGAGGCAAUGAUUAUUGCCCCCAGACACGGGCAACAAGUGAAAUAGACACACGCAUUGCAUCAAACUAAGACACUUUCGUAUAGUCAAGAAACAAGCACCAAAGUGAGGAGACGGACUGCAAAAUAAGAGAAAACAUUGCCAGUCAUAAGUGGCUAGGGGCCUAGUGUCUGCAAUGUGAAAGGAACACAGGGUGCUUAAUUUUAAGUAAACAAAAUGCCUGACUGAAAAUUGGGGAAACUGUCUAGAAAAGAUCUUUAUUGGAAGAAGUCAUGCACAUGGCUGAGAGGUAUAUGAAAAGUGAGUAUACUCACUUAUCAUCAAACACAUAACCCCAAACCAUGGUGAAUCACCCCUGCACCUCUGUUAGAAUGCCUGUGAUCAAGAAGACAACAGCUAGCCAGCAUUGGUGAGGACGUGGGAAGACAGCGGCUACACACCGUGGAUGGGGAUGCAGAACCAACCAGGAAGAUCAACCCGGAGUAUUUUCUUUCUAAAAAAGAAUUAAAAACAUGUCUUCCUACCCUCCACAUUAUCCCACUUUGGGGUCAUUGUCUACAGGAAAUGAAGUCUGCAUGUCAAAGAAACACUGGCCCUCUGUUCAUUCUAGUUCUGUGUAGUGUAGCCAAGGCCUAGAAUCAUGGCAUCUAUUGACACAUAAAUGGAUAAAGGUGUGUGUGUGUGCGCGCGCACACACAUACAAACAAUGGGGCAUUUUUUAGCCUGAAAAGGAAAAGAAAUGCUUAUGUGCUCUGUACUACAUGUAGACUUUGUGUUAAGGAAAACAAGCUAGUUGCCCCAGGACAUAAUAUGUGCCUGCAUGGGUGUGUGCAUGUGUGUGCACACAUGCGUGUGUGUUUUCAUUUAUGUUAAGAACCUAACGUUGUCUUCAGGUAUGCAGAAUAGAAAGCAGGAUGGUGAGAAGCUGCGGGUGGGGACUGGUAAUAAUAUCUUAGUGGGUUCUAAGUUUUAGGUGGAGAGAGCAUGGUGAUCGUGGGUGAUAACACUAUUGUGAACUUUAUGCUUCCUAAGACAUUCUUAAUGUUUUCAUGACACACAAACUUAGUGACAGAGAUGUGAAUUAGCUGAAUGUGCUAAUUAUUUCACAAUAUCUGCACAUAUCAAAGUGUCACACUGGAUACUUGAAAAAUACACCUCAAGAAAUCUGGAAAACCAAAUUUUCCCCUAAAGUCACACAGAUAAGCCUAGGUACGCCUGGAGUUGACACUCUGUGUCAAAAAGCCAGUGUGGUAUUUGCUGGGGCUCAAGUAGGGUUCCUCAACUUUGCAUUUCCCUUGGAGAUGCAGGAAGCUCCCACCUUUAUUAGCUAGGGGUUGAUUACUGGCUUCCUACACAUUCUGUUUUAACGUGGUGCCAAUCGUAAGACGCCACUGUGGGAAGAGCCUUGGAAGACGGGGGUUAGACAGUUGGAGCCUGUUUCCUCCACUUAGCAGUCUUGUGACCUUGGGCCUGUCAUUGAAAAUCCCAGUUUGGCCUGUUCCCCUCAAGCCAUGCUCCUAGAACUCAUGAGUCACAAGUGAACUGGAGCAUGCGGCCCCUUGGGCUUUCUGUCGCCAUGUGGAGCUCUAGUCCAGCCAAGCUGAUGGUCUGGAUUUUGGAAAGGUGGCUCAAAGACGCCUCUCCUUUCAUUGAAAAAAGAAAUAAACUUUUAACAAUGAACUUGACACAUCUCACUCAGAUCCAACUGUACACUAGUAUCUCAAUCAUCUGUGGCCGUGUAACAACCCAAAAUUGCAAGACUUAAGAAGACAAUAUUGUGAUGUUUCCCUUGGGUUCUGAGGUUUUAUGGGGCUGGAUGGGGGCAGAUUUUCUGUUUAAUCUGAUUGUUGCUGGAGCUAGAAUGUCCACAGUGGCAUCUUCACUUACAUGUCUGGUCCUCUGCAAUCAGCCAGAGGCUGGCCAGGCAUUUCUCUUUGAUAGUGACUCCACCUGGGUCAUUGAAACUUCCAUGUGGUGGCUGAAGGCUGAAAAAACUCCAUGAGGUUUACAGAGGUCUGCACCCCAAUGUGUAUGUCCUUAUGACAUUCUAAUUGUAUCACAUUGGCCAAGGACGGUCAUGUGCCUAACUCAACCAGGGGUCAUUGUGGGAGGAGGCCUCAGAAAAACAGGAAUCCUGGGAAGUGUGCCACUGGCUACCACCACAGGGUACCAUUAGCCAGUGAGAAGCCCCCCAGAAAGUGGUGUGGCUAUAUACCCAGGAGAUUUCAAAGUCAGGAUAUAUAUUGUUGGGCUGUGCUACCCAGAGAUGAUUUUCAGUUAGGAAAUUCUAAUGUUUUUCUCCAAGUUUUGUUUCUGUUGCUGUGAUAAACACCCUUACAAAAAGAAUUUUUGGGGGAAGGGAUUUUUUUUAAGUUCAUAAGUCCAGGUUACAGCCUGUAGUUUCAGGGAGGCCACAGUGGCAAGAGUUUGAAACAGCUAGUCACACUACAUUCACAGACAAGAGUAGAGAGACAUGGAUGAAUGCUUACUCACUUGUUUGAUUGUUUGCCUGGUUUAGUAUAAUUUCUUCACUCACUUUUAUACAGUUUAGGCUCUUCUUCCUGCCUAGGGAAUGAUGCUGCCACAGUGGACCCCAUUUUCUCACAUCUCUUAACUAAAGACAACUCCCCUACAAACAUGUCCACAGGUCAACCCAAUGUAGACAAUCCCUCACUGAGACUGUCUUCCCUGGUGAUUCCAGGUUAUGUCAAGUUGACAAAGCUGACCAUCACAUCUCCCAUAGCCUGAUGUCCCACAGAAUAAUAAAGCAAGAGAUGAGCAGAGUCUUUCUUGUCAUGGGGUGUAGGCUUUAAGAAUUUAGUGGUUGUCCCCACUCCAGCUUGCAAGUUGACAUCCCCUUGCAAUAAUUCACUACUUCAUCCCUGCUGGGGUGGCUGUCUGCAUCCCACACUUUACCCUCUAUCUUUCUUCUCUCUUGUCCUCAAAGAUAGCAGUGGGAGAAAGGCCACAGUAGGAAUAUUGGCAGUUGGGUCCAUGAUGGUGAAUGCCACAGCUUGCCAGGUUGGUUGUCUCUAAAUACAAGCUGAAAAUUAGUAAUAAUAAUAAUAAUGAUAACAAUAAUAAUUCAAUGUUGAGUGUUAGCUAGGUAGUAGCAUUAUUUAUUUUGUUUUAAACAUUAUUUUAUUAUUUCAUGUGUGUGGAGGUUUUGGCUGCAAGUCUGUGCACCAUAUGCAUGCCUGGUACCCUCAGAGGCCUGAAGAAGGUGUUAGGUUCCCUGGAACUGGAAUUAUGGAUAGGUGUGAUAAUAAAACAAAGGCUGAACCUCUCCCCCAGCACAACAUAUCUUCUGACUUCCAUUUUGAAGUUAAGACAUUUUUAAAACAUAUAUGUUGCUUUAAUUUAGCAGUUUCCAUAAUCCAAUGUCUAUUAGCAGCUAUUGUUUUUUGUACAUUAGCAUUUAAAAAAUUCAAAGUCAGCAAUGCACUAUACAGGAUCCAGAUGCCCUGUAUGUUUCCCAUCCUUAUGUGGCUUAUUCCUUUUAUAUUACUUUACUCUUUCUUUAAAGACUUUAUUUUAUUAUUUUUAAACUAUUUUUUCUAUGACUGUCUAUAACCAUUUUUUACUGUAUCUGUUUAAAGGUUUUCUUGGUCUGGACCUGACUUUUUGUGUGUGUGCAGCAUUCCCUGACUGUGAGACAAACCUUAAAUGGCCAUGUCAGGUGCCACUCUGCUCAGUUUAGCACAUGACUCUGGUGCAUGACUCUGGUACACGGCACUGGUGGCUGGCUCCAGCCCAUAGGGAGUGGCCAGGAGCUGUGUCUCUGUAUGACAAGCACUGGCCCACCUAAGAGACUGCAGGACUAGGAAGCCACAUCUGACUCCUUGUCCAGAACUUUUUUAGCUUUUUCAGACCCUAUGACUGGAUAGUUGAGCCCCAGGUUGGGUGCGCCAUAUGUAACGAGUCUUUUUCUGUCCCACCAGCCAGCUCCCAAAUAAUGACAUGGAGACUUAUUAUUAAUUAUGAAAGCUCAGCUUAGGCUUGUUCCUAACUAGCUCUUAAAACUUAAAUUAACUCAUUUUUAUGUACUGUCACGUGGCUCAUGGCUAUUACCUCUCCUCCUGUGUAUCUUACUUGUUCUAUGUCUCCUGGUGUCUCUCUCAUGCCUAGAUUCCUCUCCUUCUUCCUCUCUCUCUACCCAGAAGUUCCACCCAUACCUCCUGCCUACCUAUUGGCUGUUCAGCUCUUUAUUAAACCAACACAAUAUCCCACAACAUAACGAUGCAUGGAAAUAAUAAUAAUAAUAAUAAUAAUAAUAAUAAGCUAUUAUUAUUAUUCCCCGGCAUCAAUCUUAGUAUUUUCGUUUUUGUUUCUUGUGUAGAAGCUUGGGCUAAUCAGACUCCCCAGACUGUUGAAUUGUCCAUGUCUUACUUCACUAACGCAUAUGCUUAUCCUUUUUACUUCCCACUCCUCAUAGGCACACAGGCUCACAGGCUUGAUGCUCACCUUCUUAUACAUAUGCAUCUCUCCAAAGCAUGGAUUUUGGUCUUAUAUGUAACAUGCUACAUUUACAGAAAAGGUAAUAAGUGGCCAAUUUUAUACGGAUUUUGGGCUCACCCAUGAUUAGAGAUGUGGAAGGACCCUGGAAGGGACAUAGUAUCACAUCUCAAUGGCAUCUAUUUCAUUCUGUUCCCAUGACAACACUGACAAAGCCUGGCACUGGUGAAUGGACAGUGUGUCUGACUCCAUAUGUCCAGCCUUUGGGGACUCCCAUCUUAUACUACACCAUGAAUCAGGGAAGGAUUUUUAUAUACCAUCAGAAUAUAUCCCAGUGACUGUUAGCGGAGUCACAGAGUAAGGUGGCCAUCAUCACUACUUCUAGAAUGUCCCCAUCAUUCCCAAAAGAAAUCUCAUCACUAUCUAAAGUCUCACCCAUCUUCCUCCCUUUUUCUCUUCCCUGUCUUGAGGUGACCACUGGUCAACUUUAUGUCUCUCUGUUGUGAGAUAUAAAUAGACAUUCUGUUUCUGGACACUACAUCAAGCAGGGAAUCCUAUAAUGUGUGGCCUUCUAUGGCUGGCUUCCUUCAUUUAGCAUAAGGUUCAAGGUUCAUCCAUGUUGUGGUGUGUAUCAGUAUUUCACUCCUUUGCAUGGCUGAGCAGUAUUCUGUGGCAUACCUGCAGCACAUUUUGUUUAUCCUGUCAUCUAUUGAUGCAUUCUAGGGGAAUUGGGUACUGGUCAGAGCUGCACUGGAAGGUUAGACAAUGGAUACGAUCAAGUCAGGAGGAUUUCUCAGUCAGGAGGCUAAUGAGGCAAAAUUAGUGUUUUCGAAACUUACUAUGGCAGGACUGUGGCACUCAGGUCUGCAGGGAGGCAGAGAUGGGAGUGAGGCUGGGCGGACUACAGAAAUUAGGAAUGGACAUCAGGGAGACCUCUGUGCCAGGUGCAAGCUCCACCUCUCUCUGGCUCCUCCCAGUUCCAUUUACUCACUUUUUUUUCCCUCCCCCUCCCCUCUGUCCCUCUCCUGCUCAUGCUCUUUUUCCUCUCUCACUUCCUUCUCUCCUUCCUUCUUCUUCUCUCUUCUUUCCCCCAUCUCUCUCCCCCUUUCAUUCUCUCCCCUCUUCUAUCCCUCUUGAUUUCCUUUCUCCUCCACCUCCCUCCUUUCCUAGUCCCCUCAUCAGUUUUCCUUCCUUCCUUUCUCUCUACCCCUCCCUUUCUGAUUCUCUUUUCAUCCCACUCCUUGCCUAUUUCCUCCUCUCCCCUCCCUUUUCCUCUCCCUCUCUCCCUCCCUUACAUAAAGCCAAGAGCCUGGAAGCAUAGCUCAUCUCAGGCAGAAGGCCAGCGUGCUCUCAGCCCUGUCUCCUAUUUCCUCCUGCACUGCUGCUGAGGAUCAGCUGGUCACACGCCUUCCUGGAAUGUGCAUGAUGAUAAUUGCCUCUUGCACAAUUAUCUGCCAAGCCCUGUCGGUAAUGAAAUGAAUGAUUUAGUUAUCCUUGUUAGGAAUAGCCCACAAAGCUCAGAAACUCAUUAUUGCAGCCACGAGGCUGGCAGGAAUGCCCUCCGAGGCACCUGCGAGUGAGCGGCUUUUACAAUUAGCUCUCUCUUUUCUGCCAGAGACCACAGGCCCACCCUGCCCCCACCAUGAACCAAGGGCUGGAAGCAUUCUAGGGGAAAACCAAUAAAUAAGCCUGAGGCUGAGGUUCAGCUGCAGAUCUUACUGGACAAGCACAGGGCCUUGGGCUUGAUGUCCAUCACUGCAAGACAUACGAGGCUGGACUGGGCUUCUUGUCUGCCAGCUUUGACCCACACAACAUGAAACUGCUUUCUCCCAGUGCAUGGAAAGGCUUAAUCCAAGCUCUGUGGUGAUGAGCAUGGUGCAGAGGCCACUAGGGUUCUGAAGAAAGCGUCCUUGGCCAGCUAAAUGCAGGGCUCACAUUCUACCCCAUGAUCCCAUUUCACACUGCCUCUCUGGAGGCUUUUCUUGUCCGUUGUUUCAUAGUGAUGGUUCAGCCUUUUCCCCUGCCUCAGCCUUUCUCUACUGCCUGUAACUGCUGGGUCUCAAGGGUAAGGAGGACGAAGAAAGGCAGAUAGAGAUGGGUGUGGCUGGGGAAAGUUGAAGCCAGGGAUGCAGAGACACAUGGUGUUUGAAGGAAGCUGUACCACACGAAUCUCCACAUGUGCCCAUGUGUUCUCUUCUUGCUUUCUGGAAGAUUCGAUUCAGAAGUAACUUCUUUGGGAUGGGGGAAAAAAAGCCCCCACAGUUUUAGUUUAGCUUUGAAGCAGAAACAUUGCUCAUUGACCACCCCUAGAGCAGCACACCUCAGAGGCUUGCAAGAUGGGGUGAGUGCCUACACCCAGCCUGGCUCCACCCUCUUCAUGGCUCCAGUCUGGAUAAGUGAUGUGGAAGGACCCUGGAGGGGACAUGGCAUUACAUCUCAUGCAGCCCAGCAUGUGCAGCCCAGCAUGGUUCUAGGUAGCCACUGUCCUUUCCACAUCUUGAAGUCUCUUCAUCAUCUUGACCCCAGGUGUGUAAACUGGAGAGUUCCCUGACCGUGGUCCUUUGCGUCUUUACAGGGUUACAGGGCACAGUCUGUCAGAAGGGGAAACUGAGGCACUAUUUUGUAAAGAGUCUGGUGGGAGGAGAUGCACUGUCGUUGCUGUGGAGCCAGGUGCAGGAGUCCACAGACCAGUUUAGUUCUAAAUUGGGUGUUGCUCUUCCUCUUGUGAAGUGAGGAGGGUGGAGCUUAUGAACGAGAGUUCUAUGGACAGCCAUUUUAAUCUCGGCUCUGUAGGUGCAGGUUGAGGGAGGUAGUGGAAGGAAGACUUGAUCUGGAGUUUGUGGUGACUACAACUUUCCUGCAAAUCGUUGCUACAUGGGGAACUAGAGGAGAGGUGAGGAUUCAGUAGGUUGAGAAAGGCAGAGGCCUAAUCCUUCAUCUCCGUGAGAAAGGGACAGGAAGGAGGAGUUACGCUGGGGCAGACAGGCUACAGGGUGCUGGUGAUGCCCAUGCAUACUGCUUCUAGUUAGCACCACUGACGUUUAUUUUUAUUUUGAGAUGAGACCUUGCCAUGUAGUCCAGGUCAGUCUUGAGUUCACGUCUACAUGGUAAGAGCACCUUUGCAAGAGAAGACAUCGUGAGACAGUCCACACUGGGACAGUAGAAGACUGCCCACCUCCUUGUGGUACUGUCCACUCUGAGUUCCUCCUGACCCCUGCCCUCCGUGGUGCCUCUUAUUCUCUUUGAUUGUAAGAAGAGCAGGGUGUCCGGUCAGAGUGGACACCGAUAGCUUUAGGGACUGUGUGUGUGUGUGUGUGUGUGUGUGUGUGUGUGUGUGUGUGUGUGAGUGUGUGUGCCUGUGAAUGUGUGAAGGGGCUGGGGCUCACCAGCAGACCAGAGCACAGGAUCAGAGAGUUUCCGGGUGAGGUGGGGCAAGUCUGGAGUCAGCCCAGAGGAUGCUUGAGCCACACUCCUGUCAGUCAGCCUGCACAGAGGAUGCUUGAGCCACACUCCUGUCAGUCAGCCUGCACAGAGGAUGCUUGAGCCACACUCCUGUCAGUCAGCCUGCACAGAGGAUGCUUGAGCCACACUCCUGUCAGUCAGCCUGCACAGAGGAUGCUUGAGCCACACUCCUGUCAGUCAGCCUGCACAGAGGAUGCUUGAGCCACACUCCUGUCAGUCAGCCUGCACAGAGGAUGCUUGAGCCACACUCCUGUCAGUCAGCCUGCACAGAGGAUGCUUGAGCCACACUCCUGUCAGCCUGCACAGCUGGAGCAGCACUCGUGGUUGCACUCGCUGAGGAGCCAAGAGCAGCCCUGGAAGGAGUGCUCACUUGGCAUACCCUGGAAAGCUGUGGAAUAUACAAGCCCGGCCUCAGACAACAGAGGACGUGCCUGGUUUCUGGUCCGUAUGCCGCUCCCAGAGAACCUAAGAAGCUUCUUUGUUCUCAGCCUUCUCCAGGUAACAGUGGGCCCUGUGGUUUUGGUCCCAGAAGGACCCUCGGGAGCUGGCAGGAUCCCUUGCCUACAGCUUGGGCCUGGUGUUCUUUCCAGGCCAUAUAUUCUAAGAGAUGUAGGUCCAUUCCUUUUGGGGGCUCCUAAGGGAUGAGUCGGAAGGCUUUGGAGGAAUCACUGUAAUGCCUAAGACCCCUGUUUCAUUGUCUCUGGCCAUUCCAACCUUAGUGAACCAUCUUAACUGAAAUCAGUGAGGUCUGGCAGCCAGACAGCCAGUGUGGAAUUCGCCAUGGCUUCAGACGCCACUGCCACUACCAUUUCUUCCGGCUGCUGCAAACCUCUGCCCGGCUCUCUAAGCCCACAUGUGUGGCCCUUCCUUAGAUCCUUGGGAGCCACUACUCCAGAGGUGCACAAGGAGCUUUUACUGUGUCCAACACAGCAUCUACCCCAGGGGGCUCCCAGUGGGGACUGGGGCAGGGGUGUCAGUUGAUGUAGGCGACUAUUAGUCAGGGGAGACAGACGGUUAAAGGCGCAAACUGUGGGCAUGUAGGGAGGCAGCACCUGCCUCUGGGCAAGGGCUUUUCAUGUGGCAGCAGCUCGUGUUUGUCACGAGCAGGAGACCGCCCUGGGCUCGUAGGUCUUCAUGACACCGAUGGUCAAGGCACCAAAGGUGCAGAGAUCAAGCACAUUCCAGAGGUCAGGACGCAGAGGCAGGAUGCGAAGCCAGGUGCUCUGGCUGUAGAGCCUGUAUCCCCAUCCCCCAUCCAUAGCCUCUAGAGGAGCCAGUGAACUAGCCUGAUGAUGCAAGGCCCACCUGCCUCCUUCUUAUUAGUUUGCUGUCUGCCAAAAUGGCAGAGUGACCUACUCCAAACACCAAAGGACCUCACACCACCUUCGUGGGUGGCUGAAUACUUGGCUGAGGCUGAGGCUGAAGGCCCGUGGUUGCCCCUCCUUCUGCUAGCCCAGAGCCUGUGGAGGAGGCACCUCGGGGCUCUGGCUUUCCCUUGCCCAUUAUUUAUUUCUGUCUCCCUCCUAACCUGCAAAGUUGAAAGGUAGGGCCCUUGACUUAACAAAUCUCUUUAAAGACAGGCCCUUCAGAGUGGCUGGUACUGUAUGGGGGACACUGAUACCACACAGGACACAGAAUGUGCCCUAGAGAAUGUGUCAUUUUAAUGGGAGAACCAGCCACUCUUCCUGCUGCCACUCUCCUCCUUGGCAAACCCCGCCUCACCCAUGCCACCUUCAUGCUCAGAAUCCUCAGUAGUUCCCGUCGCUUCCAUGACCCUGGAGGCAGGUGUUCUAUCAGUGUGACUUGGUGCUCCAAACAGUGCUCACACGGACAAGAGCUGAGCCAAUCAACACAGCACUGUCAGAUAAAUAAAUAAGUAAAUGGCAGAAGCCACAUUCCUUAACCAGCCCCCAGCCCCAUCCUGAACUACCCCCUCUUCCUCAAUUCUGGUGGGUGGCCUGCUUCCCUGGGCAGGGAUCUCCAUCCACCUGUAGAUGCCCAGGAGCUCAGUGCACUCAGGUGCCAUACAUCCUUGCUCUGGCAAGAAAUGGUAUCUCCUCCCAUUUGUUGAAGUUUGUCCAUCUCCAGUCGACCCCUGACCUAUAGAACAACUCUGUUCUCUUGGCACCAACCUUGGAGGUUGGAAUGUGUCUUCCGUCCUUGGGCAGGCUUGGAGCUCCUUGUGGAUAGGAAGGAUGUGGGUGCAAACUUUAGUUCAGCCAGCUCCUUGGUGCCCAGCAAGGACACACACACACACACACACACACACACACACACACACACACACACACACACACACUGUCUUGGACACAGUGGAAUGCUCUCAUAGCAUCACUGUGUCAGUCUUCCCAGACAUGAGUGCCAGAGUAUCCUGAGCAAACGUGACUUUGUGACUUGAUCCUCACCUUUGUCCCAGUCCUUCACGUUCACUACUGCCUGGCUCCUGGCUGACCACAGCUUGCUCACUCUGCCAGUCACUCAACUAUGGUGGGCUGGGGCUGAGGACACGACAGGAAGUUGGGGAGAAAAGCACGUCCCAGAAGAACCAACGUGAGUGGAGUGAGAUGGUGUUCCUGGGACCUUCCGACAGGUCAGUGAACAAGCUCCCGUGGAGUUUUACCAGUUUGGGUGUCCGCGCUGCUGGUUCUUUGCCAUGUGACAUGGAACUCUCCUGGGAGUGUGGUGGUGGGGGACUCAGUUUGUACAUGUGAAUGGAGAGUUACAAUACCUACCCACUAAAGGGAAUGUUUGGAAAGAGGGUUGAACUAGAGGAUGCCUGGGCAUUUCUCAGCCUGGCAGAGCUUGGUCACAGCCAAGGGACAGUCACAUCAUUAUUGCUAAUGGUUCUAUUUCAGCCAGAAGCAGAGUGAAAGUUUCUGGAUUGGAAAAUCCGAUCUGAGGCCCAACAAGUCACUGGAUGGAAAAUGGGUGUAGCAUCAUGGGACCUGGGCAGGGCCUUAGUGUGAGAAAACCAGCUGCCGGGAGAGAGAGCCAACCUGGUUCUUAGCCUCCACCCCACACGUGGCAACCAAGAACUCACUUUGCUUUUCUCUCCAUUUCUUUCCUCUCUCCUUUUGUUUGACUUUUUCAUGGUUGGGGAUUGAACCUGGGCAUCACGCACGAACUCUGCCAUGGAGCUAUGUCUUCAACUCUUUCUGUUUUUAUUUUUAAGACAGAGUCUUUUACUAACUCACCCAAGCUUGUCUUGAACUCAUAAUCCUCCUGCCUCAGUCUCCCUAAAUAGCCGGGAUUACAGGCCUGGCUAAGAAUCUGAGUUUUCAAUGAACAAAAUCCUUCCAUGAUCAAGGUUGGCCUUAGCAUAUUUGGAAGUCCUUUUGUGAUCACCCCAGGAGCUUCUCCCCUUCUUUUCUAAGCUAAUAGCCAUCUGCCUGCAGACAGGUAGACACCGUGGGAACAGAAGGCCCACAGAAACAGCUGGUUGACCUCCCCUGGUUAACCCUGUCAGUAGGAUAUAGUCUCACCGAACUUCCCCUUCAUGACCAGCAGAUGGCGAGCGUGUGUUAGUGCUGCUGAGUCCUGGAUGCCAUGGAAUUGUGAGGGGUGUCUGAAGUUCUAGAAGACGAGCCUGGAGGAAGAAGGCCCCAAGAAUGGACACGAUUCCCUCCUCCCUCUCCAGGUCUUCCUUCUAUAAGGACCUACGUCAGCUCACCUUCCAGUGUGUCUGUUGACAUGGCACCAUGCUCUUCAUCUGAUGGGCCAGAGUCCAGUGUGCUCUGCCUGGGAAGAUUUGCAGGAGUGUUCCCAGCUGUGACGAGGCUCUCUCCCACCUCUCUCUGCAGCCUUCUUCAGUGGAUGCUUAGUUUUUUUGGCAUACAUCUUCAGAACCUGUACUGUGGACUGGCAGCCUGGGGCCUCUCAUAGGUUCUGUCUAUAGGGGAAACAUCUUUUAUGGUGAUAUUUUAUUUGUACUGAAAUGUGAUUUUAUUUGCAUGUUAAUAAAUAAAGUUGCCUGGGGGUCAGAGCUAAUAGCAAGCCAUAGCAGAAGCUGGGUGGUGGUGGUGCACGCCUUUAAUCCCAGCUCUUGGGAGACAGAGCGAGGCGGAUCUCUGUGUGUUCAAGGAUACAGCCAGCAUGGAGACACACGCCUUUAAUCUCAAUACCAACCAUAGAAGACCUGGAGGUCUGUAUAGACAGGCAGUGAUGAGGAGGUCAUGUGGUUGGGUUUACAACCAAUGAGAAGGCAGAAUAGAAAGUCUAUAAAAAAGACAGACAGACAGGAAGUAGCUCUCUUGCUGAGGAGGACAGAAGCGGCAAUGAAGGGUAAGGUUUUUUUAGCUCUGACGUCUUGGGCUUUCAUCUUUGCAUUGGCUCUGUGUUUCUUAUUUAAUAAGAUGGUUACACCUACAAUCUUUCAUCCUCUGGCUGGUGAGAAGACCCUGUUAGCUCCAGGAUUCUGGGCUGAACCCUCAGCUAUGUUUUGAGUUACACCCGUGUCCUGAUACCUAAUCAUGAACAGGUCUUUCUUAUCCCAGGGUCUUCCUUGGUCUCCCUACGUGUCAGAGUUUCAGUAGCUACCUCCUUUGUUCUUUGAACUAACCAUCAUGAAUGAGCAUGAUAGAAAACUUUUAACAGGUGACCAGGUCUCAUUCCCAUCACCUACAAUGUGAGUGCUGCAGCUAGACGGCCACUAAGCACAAGCAUCCUGUGACCCAUGACUGCUGAUCGAACACAGGUGCCUGAGUACCCUGAGGCUUAGGGACCAUCACUGACAGAUAUUGGUGACAGUCUGAGGUAUCCCUCAUAGGAACUGGGAGUCACUCAGCUCACCAUCAGUGUUAGCAUGACAAAAAUGGAUGACUGGUGGGGGUAGCUGAUGAGGAGAAGGAGCAAGAAGAUUCCUGGGAUCAUGGGCUGGGGCUUGAGUUUUUUGUUUGUUUGUUUCUGAACAGUGGGAGGUCUUGCUUCUGCUGGUGGACAAGGGGACUAAACAAGAGGGACCCAGGAAGGGAGUUGUCCCUCCUCAGGAUGAUUUCUGAUGCUCUCUCCCUUAACUCCUAUGCUUUAUUUCUUCUAGGAUCAGUCUGUGGCCAUCACUGCUCACUCUCUGCCAUCUCUUCACCAAGUACUGCUUACAGAUGAAUUUCACAGCAACCAUGGUUUUCCAUGUUGGCCUCAUCAUCCUUUUCUUCAGCUUCCACCAGAAGACAUCCCUCAAGGGACACUGGAAGAGGCCGGCUUAAAUAAAGAGUAGGACCAGAGACCAAGACCAGCAGAGGUAUCUUCAUGGAGACCUGGGCAGAGGACAGCAGAGCUCUCAGCUCUCUCCCCGCCCUGCCCCAAGAGCUGCAGCUCAUCCAACGAAAGAGGAAAAUCUCCUCCCUUCUAGAGUUCAGGAGGAAUGAAAUGGACUCAGGCUUCAUACCCACUGCUCACAUGGAUUUAUACUAUCUGUGAACCUCCUGCCUCUACUAGAUAUAGUCCUUUAAUGGAAGGAACUGUCUUUUUUUCUGUGGCCACUAUACUGGGCACCCACUUCAUCUCAAAAAUGCACCUCUAAGGCUUGGAUUCUACAGCUGGUGGUCAUGGCCACUGGUAAAGAACAGGCCUGGGUGUGGACAAAGUCAAGGAUGGCUUGCCAUCUGACUUGAAGUGGGAAACUUACUUGGUUUCCGAUGUGGCUAUGAACAACUACCCCCUCCCACACACAGCUUUUAGCUCACCACCCUCAGCAUGGGUGUGUGUAGUUGCAUGAUUCCAUAGCACGUUAUUAGGGUGAGAGAAAGGGAUAUAUGCAUGGAUCAGAAUUGUUUGCUGUCAACAUGUGGAUUUUUCUGCUUUGUUCAAAUGUCAAAUAAAUAUUGACAAAUGAAAUCA